rnacentral:rRNA from 1 species
GCGGUGGAUGAUGUGGAUUAAUUCGAUGCAACGCGAAGAACCUUACUACCCUUGACAUGUCCGGAACUUGCCAGAGAUGGCUUGGUGCCCGAAAGGGAAUCGGAACACAGGUGCUGCAUGGCUGUCGUCAGCUCGUGUCGUGAGAUGUUGGGUUAAGUCCCGCAACGAGCGCAACCCUUAUCAUUAGUUGCUACGCAAGGGCACUCUAAUGAGACUGCCGGUGACAAACCGGAGGAAGGUGGGGAUGACGUCAAGUCCUCAUGGCCCUUAUGGGUAGGGCUUCACACGUCAUACAAUGGUCGGUACAGAGGGUUGCCAAGCCGCGAGGCGGAGCCAAUCCCACAAAGCCGAUCGUAGUCCGGAUUGUUCUCUGCAACUCGAGAGCAUGAAGUCGGAAUCGCUAGUAAUCGCAGGUCAGCAUACUGCGGUGAAUACGUUCCCGGGUCUU